UUGGGUCUUUCAGUGGAAACAUCUACUCAGUGUGGCUGCAUGACAUGCACCGUCAUAGAGGAGUCUGUGACUGUGAAUGGUUUUCAUGACCAAUGAUUUACCAGACACCGAGGGUCAUCUAUCAGUGAGAUGUUCUUGCUCAUGGAGGCAAGCUGGACUUUCACCAAUGCAUGCAGUUUGUCUCUUAAGGCCCGAGUGAAUCCAGAAAACAAAUGAGCCUCAAGAUGCUCUUGGUGUGUUGUUUGAGGAGUCCUAGGAUUCUUUUCCAAUUGGAGGGAGAAUAGAGUGUUGUCCUGCUCUAUAUGCAUGAGAGAAUCAGGCUCAUUUAAUAAUAGUAAAGGUAUAUGUGUCUCAUGAUGUUAAAGACCCUGUUCUUGCUGGACGUCUUCUGAGAAGUUAGGAAGAUCGAAAUGGUGGCACAGAGCAAAGAGAAUCCACUGAACUCCUGGUGAAUGGGGGCACUCAUGUCAAAAAUGACUCUCCAGCAUUUUUGAAACCACCAUAUUUCUCAAAAACUCAAUAAAUGAGAACCCACUCAUUUCAAACUGCUGGCAAAAGGUCCCAUAACCAAGCUGUGCCAUGAAAACCCACCUUUGAAACUGCUGAAUAUAUUCGCACCUGAGAUACGAAGAGAAGCAUGUCUAAGUUGUAUCAAAAGUACCCUACCUGGACUUGGCUCAGGACCUGGUGGACCUUUUGUCUCAGUCUACAGGAUGGAUUCCACAUGAGCAGUGGAAAAAUCUACUUAGCGUGGCUUCAUGGCAUGCACCAUCAGAGAGGAGUCCGUGACUGUGAUCAAUUUUCAUGACCAGUGAUUUAUCAGUCAAUGAGGGUCAUCUAUCAAUGAGACGUUCUUGCUCAUGGAGGCAAGCUGGACUUUCACCAAUGCAUGAAGUUUGUGUCUCAAGGCUUGAGUGAAUCUAGAAAACAAUUGAGCCUCGAGAUGCUCUUGGUGUGCUUUUUGAGGAGUCCUAGGACUCUUUUCCAACUGGAGGGAGAAGAGAGUUGUGUCCUGCUCUUUAGACAUGAGAGAAUCAGACUCAUUUAAUAAUAGUAAAGGUGUCUGUGGCUCACGUUGUUAAUGGUCCUGUUCGCUUCUGGUCAUCUUCUGAGUACUUAGGGAGCUCAGAAUGUUGGCAAAGAGCAAAGAGAUUCCACCGGACUCCUAGUGAGAGGGGACACUCUAGGCAAAAUGACUGUCCAACUUUUUUGAAACCACCGUCUUUCUUGAAAUCUCAAGAUGUGAGAACACACUCAUGUCAAACAGCUGGCAAAAUGUCCCAUAACCAAGCUGUGCCAUGAAAACCCAACUUUGAGACUGCUGUAUAUAUUCACAGCUGAGAUAUGAAGAGAGGCAUAUUCAAGAUGUAUCAAAAGUACCCUGCCUGGAAUUGGCUCAGGACCUGGUGAACCUUUUGUCUCAGCCUACAGAAUGGAUUCCACAUGAGCAGUGGAAACAUCUACUCAGCAUGGUUGCAUGGCAUGCACCGUUAUAGAGGAGUCUGUGACUGCCAUCGGUUGUCAAGACCAGUGAUUUACCAGUCACCAAGGGUCAUCAAUCAAUGAGACGUUCUUUCUCAUGGAGGCAAGCUGGACUUUUCACCAAUGCAUGCAGUUUGUCUCUCAAGGCCUUAGUGAAGCCAGAAAACAAAUGAGACUCGAGAUGCUCUUGGUGUGCUCUUUGAAGAGUCCUAGGAUUCUUUUUCAGAUGGAGGGAGAAGAGCGUUUUGUCCUGCUCUAUAGACAUGAGAGAAUCACGCUCAUUUAACAAUAGUAAAGGUAUCUGGCUCACGAUGUUAAUGGCCCUGUUCUCUGAGGGGGGGCGUCUUCUGAAUAUUUUCGGAGCUCAGAAUGGUGGCACAGAGCAGAGAAGCCACUGGACUCCUGGUGAGGGUGGACACUCAAGUCAAAAAUGACUGUCCAACUUUUUUGAAACCACCGUCUUUCUUGGAAACUCAAGUUGUGAGAACACACUCAUGUCAAACUGCUGGCAAAAGGUCCCAUAACCAAGGUGUGCCAUGAAAACCUAACUUUGAGACUGCUGAAUAUAUUCGCACCUGAGAUACGAAGAGAGGCAUGUCCUAGCUGUAUCAAAAGUAUCCUGUCUGGACUUGGCUCAGGACUUGGUGGACCUUUUGUCUCAGUCUACAGGAUGGAUUCCACAUGAGCAGUGAAAACAUCUGCUCAGCUUUGCUGCAUGGCGUGGACCAUCAUAGAGGAGUCCGUGGCUGUGAUUGGUCAUCAUGACCAAUUAUUUACCAGUCACUGAGGGUCAUCAAUCAAUGAUGCAUUCUUGCUCAUGGAGGGAAGCUGAACUUCCACCAAUUCAUGCAGUUUGUCUCUCAAGGCCUGAGUUAAGCCAGAAAACAAAUGAGCCUCGAGAUGUUCUUGGUAUGCUGUUUGAGGUGUCCUAGGAUUAUUUUCCAAAUGGAGGGAGAAGAGAAUUUUGCCCUGCUCUGUAGACAUGAGAGAAUCAGGCUCAUUUAAUAAUAGUAAAGCUAUCUGUGGCUCACGACGUUAAUAGCUCUGUUCUCUGCUGUUCGUCUUCUUAGUACUUAGGGAUUUCUGAAUGGUGGCACAGAGCAUACAGAAUCCACCAGACUCGUGGUGAGAGGGGACUCUCAAGACAAAAAUGACUGUCCAACUUUUUUGAAACCACCGUCUUUCUUGAGAACUCAUGAUGUGAGAACACACUCAUGUCAAACACCUGGCAAAAGGUCCUAUAACCAAGCUGUUCCAUGAAAACCCACCUUUGAGACUGCUGUAUAUAUUCGCACCUGAAAUACGAAGAGAGGCUUGUUGAAGCUGUAUCAAAAGUACCCUGUGUGGACUUGGCUCAGGACCUGGUGUACCUUUUUGUCUCAGCCUACCGUAUGGAUUUCACAUGAGCAGUGGAAACAUCUACUCAGCAUGGCUGCAUGGCAUGUAUCGUCAUAGAGGAGUCCGUGACUGCGAUCUGUUCUCAUUACAAAUGAUUUACCAGUCACCGAGGGUCAUCAAUCAAUGAGACAUUCUUGCUCAUGGAGGCAAGCUGGACUUUCACAAAUGCAUGCAGUUUGUCUCUCAAGGCCUGAGUGAAUCCAGAAAACAACUGAGAUUCGAGAUGCUCUUGCUGUGCUCUUUGAGGAGGCCUAGGAUUCUUUUCCAAAUGGAGGGAGAAGAGAGUUGUGUCCUGCUCUAUAGACAUGAGAGAAUCAGGCUCAUUUAAUAAUAGUAAAGGUAUCUGUGGCUCACGUUGUUAAUGAUCCUGUUCACUUUGGCAUCUUCUGAGUACUUAGGGAGCUCAGAAUUUUGGCACAGAGCAAAGAGAUUCCACCAGACUCCUAGUGAGAGGGGACACUCUAGGCAAAAAUGACUGUCCAACUUUUUUGAAACCACCGUCUUUCUUGAAAUCUCAAGAUGUGAGAACACACUCAUGUCAAACUGCUGGCAAAAUGUCUAUAACCAAGCUGUGCCAUGAAAACCCAACUUUGAGACUGCUGCAUAUAUUCACAGCUGAGAUACGAAGAGAGGCAUAUCCAAGAUGAAUCAAAAGUACCCUGCCUGGAAUUGGUUCAGGGCCUGGUGAACCUUUUGUCUCAGCCUACAGAAUGGAUUCCACAUGAGCAGUGGAAACAUCUACUCAGCGUGGUUGCAUGGCAUGCACCGUCAUAGAGGAGUCUGUGACUGCCAUCGGUUGUCAAGACCAGUGAUUUACCAGUCACCAAGGGUCAUCAAUCAAUGAGAUGUUCUUCUAAUGGAGGCAAGCUGGACUUUCACCAAUGCAUGCAGUUUGUCUCUAAAGGCCUUAGUGAAUCCAGAAAACAUAUGAGACUCGAGAUGUUCUUCGUAUGCUCUUCGAAGAGUCCUAGGAUUCUUUUUCAAAUGGAAGGAGAAGAGAGUUUUGUCCUGCUCUAUAGACAUGAGAGAAUCACGCUCAUUUAACAAUAGUAAAGGUAUCUGUGGCUCACGAUGUUAAUGGCCCUAUUCUCUGAGGGGGGGCGUCUUCUGAAUAUUUAGGGAGCUUGGAAUGGUGGCACAGAGCAGAGAAGCCACUGGACUCCUGAUGAGAGUGGGCACUCAAGUCAAAAAUGACUGUCCAACUUUUUUGAAACCACCGUCUUUCUUGGAAACCCAAGUUGUGAGAACACACUCAUGUCAAACUGCUGGCAAAAGGUCCUAUAACCAAGGUGUGCCACGGAAAUCCAACUUUGAGACUGCUGAAUAUAUUCGCACCUGAGAUACGAAGAGAGGCAUGUCCUAGCUGUUUCAAAAGUAUCCUGUCUGGACUUGGCUCAGGACCUGGUGGACCUUUUGUCUCAGUCUACAGGAUGGAUUCCACAUGAGCAGAAGGUGGCCUGGAAUUAACCUGCUAUCCAAGCAAAAAGGGCUGAAACCAGGUGGCUGCUCAUGGAUUCUCUGAAAGUGAAAUAUUCUCCAAAAGCUCUUCCUGGUUGACUUGUGUGGAAACAUCUACUCAGUGUGGUUGCAUGGCAUGCACCAUCAUAGAGGAGUCUGUGGCUGCAAUCUGUUUUCAUGACCAAUGAUUUACCAGUCAUUGAGGUUCAUCAAUCAAUGAGGCAUUCUUGCUCAUGGAGGAAAGUUGGACUUUCAUCAAUGCAUGCAGUUUUUCCCUCAAGGCCUGAGUGAACUCAGAAAACAAAUGAGCCUUGAGAUACUCUUGGUGU